GGGCUACCAUGCAAGUCGAGCGGAUGAGGGAGCUUGCUCCUGGAUUCAUCGGCGGACGGGUGAGUAAUGCCUAUGAAUCUGCCUGGUAGUGGGGGAUGACGUCCGGAAACGGGCGCUAAUACCGCAUACGUCCUGAGGGAGAAAGUGGGGGAUCUUCGGACCUCACGCUAUCAGAUGAGCCUAGGUCGGAUUAACUAGUUGGUGGGGUAAAGGCCUACCAAGGCGACGAUCCGUAACUGGUCUGAGAGGAUGAUCAAUCACACUGGAACUGAAACACAGACCAGACUCCUACGGGAGGCAGCAGUGGGGAAUAUUGGACAAUGGGCGAAAGCCUGAUCCAGCCAUGCCGCGUGUGUGAAGAAGGUCUUCGGAUUGUAAAGCACUUUAAGUUGGGAGGAAGGGCAGUAAGUUAAUACCUUGCUGUUUUGACGUUACCAACACAAUAAGCACCGGCUAACUUCGUGCCAGCAGCCGCGGUAAUACAAAGGGUGCAAGCGUUAAUCGGAAUUACUGGGCGUAAAGCGCGCGUAGGUGGUUCAGCAAGUUGGAUGUGAAAUCCCCGGGCUCAACCUGGGAACUGCAUCCAAAACUACUGAGCUAGAGUACGGUAGAGGGUGGUGGAAUUUCCUGUGUAGCGGUGAAAUGCGUAGAUAUAGAGAAGGAACACCAGUGGCGAAGGCGACCACCUGCACUGAUACUGACACUGAGGUGCGAAAGCGUGGGGGAGCAAACAGGAUUAGAUACCCAUGCUAGUCCACGCCGCAAACGAUGUCGACUAGCCGUUGGGGAUCCUUGACAUCUUAGU
rnacentral:rRNA from 1 species